rnacentral:rRNA from 1 species
AUUGAACGCUGGCGGCAUGCCUAACACAUGCAAGUCGAGCGGCUGCGGGGACCUUGCUCUUGCAUUGAGCGGCGGACGGGUGAGUAAUGCCUAGGAACGUGCCUGGUAGUGGGGGAUAACGUCCGGAAAGGGGGGUUAAUACCGCAUACGACCUGAGGGUGAAAGUGGGGGAUCUUCAGGCCUCGCGCUAUCGGAUGGGCCUAGGUCGGAUUAGCUAGUUGGUGGGGUAAAGGCCUACCAAGGCGACGAUCCGUAGCUGGUCUGAGAGGAUGAUCAGCCACACUGGAACUGAGACACGGUCCAGACUCCUACGGGAGGCAGCAGUGGGGAAUAUUGGACAAUGGGCGCAAGCCUGAUCCAGCCAUGCCGCGUGUGUGAAGAAGGUCUUCGGAUUGUAAAGCACUUUAAGUUGGGAAGAAGGGCAGUAAGCUAAUACCUCGGUGGUUUGACGGUACCAAAAGAAUAAGCACCGGCUAACUUCGUG